rnacentral:rRNA from 1 species
GAUGAACGCUGGCGGCGUGCCUAAUACAUGCAAGUCGAGCGAAUGGAUUAAGAGCUUGCUCUUAUGAAGUUAGCGGCGGACGGGUGAGUAACACGUGGGUAACCUGCCCAUAAGACUGGGAUAACUCCGGGAAACCGGGGCUAAUACCGGAUAACAUUUUGAACCGCAUGGUUCGAAAUUGAAAGGCGGCUUCGGCUGUCACUUAUGGAUGGACCCGCGUCGCAUUAGCUAGUUGGUGAGGUAACGGCUCACCAAGGCAACGAUGCGUAGCCGACCGGGGAGGGGGAUCGGCCACACUGGGACGAGAACACGGCCCAGACUCCUACGGGAGGCAGCAGUAGGGAAUGUUCCGCAAUGGACGAAAGUCUGACGGAGCAACGCCGCGUGAGUGAUGAAGGCUUUCGGGUCGUAAAACUCUGUUGUUAGGGAAGAACAAGUGCUGGUUGAAUAAGCUGGCACCUUGACGGUACCUAACCAGAAAGCCACGGCUAACUACGUGCCAGCAGCCGCCGUAA